UACGGAAGGCAGCAGUGGGGAAUAUUGCACAAUGGGCGCAAGCCUGAUGCAGCCAUGCCGCGUGUAUGAAGAAGGCCUUCGGGUUGUAAAGUACUUUCAGUCGUGAGGAAGGUGUUAAGGUUAAUAACCUUAGCAAUUGACGUUAGCGACAGAAGAAGCACCGGCUAACUCCGUGCCAGCAGCCGCGGUAAUACGGAGGGUGCGAGCGUUAAUCGGAAUUACUGGGCGUAAAGGGCACGCAGGCGGUUAAUUAAGUUGGAUGUGAAAUCCCCGGGCUUAACCUGGGAAUGGCAUUCAAGACUGGUUAGCUAGAGUCUUGUAGAGGGGGUAGAAUUCCAUGUGUAGCGGUGAAAUGCGUAGAGAUGUGGAGGAAUACCGGUGGCGAAGGCGGCCCCUGGACAAAGGCUGACGCUCAUGUGCGAAAGCGUGGGGAGCAAA
rnacentral:rRNA from 1 species